GGGCCCGCACAAGCGGUGGAGUAUGUGGUUUAAUUCGAUGCAACGCGAAGAACCUUACCAGGGUUUGACAUCCUGCGAAUCUCUUGGAAACGAGAGAGUGCCUUCGGGAGCGCAGUGACAGGUGGUGCAUGGCUGUCGUCAGCUCGUGUCGUGAGAUGUUGGGUUAAGUCCCGCAACGAGCGCAACCCACGUCUUUAGUUGCCAGCAUUUAGUUGGGCACUCUAGAGAGACCGCCGGUGAUAAACCGGAGGAAGGUGUGGAUGACGUCAAGUCAUCAUGCCCCUUACAUCCUGGGCCACACACGUGCUACAAUGGUAGGUACAGAGGGAAGCCACCCCGCGAGGGGGAGCGGA
rnacentral:rRNA from 1 species